UACAGAGGGUGCAAGCGUUGUUCGGAAUUAUUGGGCGUAAAGCGCGCGCAGGCGGCUUGGCGCGCCCGACGUGAAAGCCCCCGGCUUAACCGGGGAGGGUCGUCGGGUACGGCCAGGCUUGAGGGCGGGAGAGGGUGGUGGAAUUCCCGGUGUAGUGGUGAAAUGCGUAGAGAUCGGGAGGAACACCUGUGGCGAAGGCGGCCACCUGGGCCGACCCUGACGCUGAGGCGCGAAGGCGUGGGGAGCGAACGGG
rnacentral:rRNA from 1 species